rnacentral:rRNA from 1 species
GUUUGAUCCUGGCUCAGAUUGAACGCUGGCGGCAUGCCUUACACAUGCAAGUCGAACGGCAGCACGGGGGCAACCCUGGUGGCGAGUGGCGAACGGGUGAGUAACGCAUCGGAAUGUACCCAGUAGUGGGGGAUAACUAGUCGAAAGAUUAGCUAAUACCGCAUACGCACUGAGGUGGAAAGCGGGGGAUCGCAAGACCUCGCGCUAUUGGAGCAGCCGAUGUCCGAUUAGGUAGUUGGUGGGGUAAAGGCCUACCAAGCCUGCGAUCGGUAACUGGUCUGAGAGGACGACCAGUCACACUGGGACUGAGACACGGCCCAGACUCCUACGGGAGGCAGCAGUGGGGAAUUUUGGACAAUGGGCGCAAGCCUGAUCCAGCAAUGCCGCGUGUGUGAAGAAGGCCUCGGUUGUAAGU